rnacentral:rRNA from 1 species
AAGGAGCUUGCUCCUUUGACGUUAGCGGCGGACGGGUGAGUAACACGUGGGUAACCUACCUAUAAGACUGGGAUAACUUCGGGAAACCGGAGCUAAUACCGGAUAACAUUUGGAACCGCAUGGUUCUAAAGUGAAAGAUGGUUUUGCUAUCACUUAUAGAUGGACCCGCGCCGUAUUAGCUAGUUGGUAAGGUAACGGCUUACCAAGGCGACGAUACGUAGCCGACCUGAGAGGGUGAUCGGCCACACUGGAACUGAGACACGGUCCAGACUCCUACGGGAGGCAGCAGUAGGGAAUCUUCCGCAAUGGGCGAAAGCCUGACGGAGCAACGCCGCGUGAGUGAUGAAGGGUUUCGGCUCGUAAAACUCUGUUAUUAGGGAAGAACAAACGUGUAAGUAACUGUGCACGUCUUGACGGUACCUAAUCAGAAAGCCACGGCUAACUACGUGCCAGCAGCCGCGGUAAUACGUAGGUGGCAAGCGUUAUCCGGAAUUAUUGGGCGUAAAGCGCGCGUAGGCGGUUUCUUAAGUCUGAUGUGAAAGCCCACGGCUCAACCGUGGAGGGUCAUUGGAAACUGGGAAACUUGAGUGCAGAAGAGGAAAGUGGAAUUCCAUGUGUAGCGGUGAAAUGCGCAGAGAUAUGGAGGAACACCAGUGGCGAAGGCGACUUUCUGGUCUGUAACUGACGCUGAUGUGCGAAAGCGUGGGGAUCAAACAGGAUUAGAUACCCUGGUAGUCCACGCCGUAAACGAUGAGUGCUAAGUGUUAGGGGGUUUCCGCCCCUUAGUGCUGCAGCUAACGCAUUAAGCACUCCGCCUGGGGAGUACGACCGCAAGGUUGAAACUCAAAGGAAUUGACGGGGACCCGCACAAGCGGUGGAGCAUGUGGUUUAAUUCGAAGCAACGCGAAGAACCUUACCAAAUCUUGACAUCCUUUGAAAACUCUAGAGAUAGAGCCUUCCCCUUCGGGGGACAAAGUGACAGGUGGUGCAUGGUUGUCGUCAGCUCGUGUCGUGAGAUGUUGGGUUAAGUCCCGCAACGAGCGCAACCCUUAAGCUUAGUUGCCAUCAUUAAGUUGGGCACUCUAGGUUGACUGCCGGUGACAAACCGGAGGAAGGUGGGGAUGACGUCAAAUCAUCAUGCCCCUUAUGAUUUGGGCUACACACGUGCUACAAUGGACAAUACAAAGGGCAGCUAAACCGCGAGGUCAUGCAAAUCCCAUAAAGUUGUUCUCAGUUCGGAUUGUAGUCUGCAACUCGACUACAUGAAGCUGGAAUCGCUAGUAAUCGUAGAUCAGCAUGCUACGGUGAAUACGUUCCCGGGUCUUGUACACACCGCCCGUCACACCACGAGAGUUUGUAACACCCGAAGCCGGUGGAGUAACCAUUU